CCUACGGGUGGCAGCAGUGAGGAAUAUUGGUCAAUGGGCGUAAGCCUGAACCAGCCAAGUCGCGUGAGGGAUGAAGGUUCUAUGGUUCGUAAACCUCUUUUAUAAGGGAAUAAAGUGCGGGACGCGUCCCGCUUUGUAUGUACCUUAUGAAUAAGGAUCGGCUAACUCCGUGCCAGCAGCCGCGGUAAUACGGAGGAUCCGAGCGUUAUCCGGAUUUAUUGGGUUUAAAGGGUGCGUAGGCGGCCUUUUAAGUCAGCGGUGAAAGUCUGUGGCUCAACCAUAGAAUUGCCGUUGAAACUGGCAGUCUUGAGUUUGUGUGAGGCAUGCGGAAUGCGUGGUGUAGCGGUGAAAUGCUUAGAUAUCGCGCAGAACCCCGAUUGCGAAGGUAGCCUGCCAGGUCCAGACUGACGCUGAUGCACGAAAGCGUGGGGAUCGAACAGGAUUAGAUACCCGAGUAGUC
rnacentral:rRNA from 1 species